CCGCCGCCACCGCCGCCGCCGCCGCCGCGGCUGCCGCAGCCUCUGGGAACCUGGAAAAGGGGAAGCGCGAGCGAGCGAACGGCUCAGUCCCCGGGCGGCGGCGGCGGCGGCGGCGGCGGCGGCGGCGGCCGGGGCGGGGGCGCUGCUGCUGCUGCUGCGGGGGGCCGGCGGCGGGGGCGGCGGCGGUGACGGCCCGCACCAGCCAUGCCGAAUAAAACCAAGAAGGAGAAAGAAGUACCAAAAGCAGGAAAAAGUGGGAAAAGUUCAAAGAAGGACAAGACGGAAUAGAGCCAGAGGUCCCCAGCAGGAAGAACAGCCUCAUCGCGGUGCCGUCGGCGGUGUCCGCCAGGGUCAAAGCGCUGCCCCCUCAGCCCACGGCGAAGAAGGAAAAGCGGCAGAAUUCCUCCAGGUUCAGCAUCACCUAUAACAGGGAACUUCAGAAACUACCGUCUCUGAAAGGUAACUUUUACUAUUUGUCUUCUAAAGUGAAAUUUUGCCUGUUUAGGGAGAAGGAGUAACGUUUCGACAGUUUAUUAGCUUCUCUUACCUUUGCUGUGUGUUCGGUCUGUAGAAUCCCCUUUUCUUCGUUACUGAUGUUUCUCUUAGAUUGAGUGCCGUUAACGCAUUUACUCGGCUAAUACUGUAAGCUCCAAGCCCGUUAAGGUAGAAAUCUACCGUGAACGUAUUAUAGGUGUUACACACUCAGAAAAAUAACAGGAAAGACUUAAAGGCCUCUCACAUUAAUUGUAAUGCAGCUGGCCGAUUGGUCUUUAAAGCAGUUCUUCUCUUCCACGUGUCUCGGAGCUGUGCGCCUCGGAGAGCCGCCACCCCGAGCAGAGCAGCCGGGAGAACUG